rfam:Myotis brandtii contig227798, whole genome shotgun sequence.
GGUGAUUCUUGGGUGAUGCACCCUGGAAUCGGGCUCCCUCCUCUCUCGUCCUUGGUGCGACGCCCGAGAACUGCA